ACGGGAGGCAGCAGUGGGGGAUAUUGCACAAUGGGGGAAACCCUGAUGCAGCGACGCCGCGUGGAGGAAGAAGGUUUUCGGAUUGUAAACUCCUGUCGUUAGGGACGAAUUCUGACGGUACCUAACAAGAAAGCACCGGCUAACUACGUGCCAGCAGCCGCGGUAAAACGUAGGGUGCAAGCGUUGUCCGGAAUUACUGGGUGUAAAGGGAGCGCAGGCGGACCGGCAAGUUGGAAGUGAAAUCUAUGGGCUCAACCCAUAAAUUGCUUUCAAAACUGCUGGCCUUGAGUAGUGCAGAGGUAGGUGGAAUUCCCGGUGUAGCGGUGGAAUGCGUAGAUAUCGGGAGGAACACCAGUGGCGAAGGCGACCUACUGGGCACCAACUGACGCUGAGGCUCGAAAGCAUGGGUAGCAAACAGGAUUAGAUACCCUGGUA
rnacentral:rRNA from 1 species